CUCGGUUUUGCGCGACACCGUCACGUGAAUAGGAACUCCGGGCUGCCAAUAAAUUAGUUAUCCCAACAUUCCUGCUCCCGAGCUACGGAUAAAUAUAUUCAAAGGAUACACAACUCCUCCCUGAAUAUCUUAUAUUUAACUGGUCUUCCCCGACCACGUUACAGUAC